UUUUUUCAUUUUUAUAUUAUAAAUUUUAUCGUAUUUUUUAAUUUCAUUCAUUGACAAAUUUCGUAAUUUACAUUCGAAGGAAACUUCCUUAUCUUUUCUUUUUUUUUUUUCAUGUGGGAUAGAGGGUUGUUAAGUUUUGUCUAGGAUAUACAUGGUUCUGUUCAGAAAGAAUUGUUUUAGUUUAAUCUUGUAUAAAAUUAUUGUGCAAAAUUAUCAUAGUAAACACUCGGUAUAACCAACAAUUGAGUUCAUUUAUCUGCAAUAAACGUUGUAUUUUUUAGAUAAAUAAAUAAGAUAAUAAUAUUUUUAAAAAAAUGUAUGAGGACGAUAAUAUCAUUUGUUAACAAGAAGUUUUGAUCAUGACAACAGUGAAAGUUCAUGGCGGAGUAGAUAUACUACGGCUACCUGUUAAUGAAAAGGAGCAUGUCUUUCCACCAUGGCAAAUAAAAUAUACUCAAUCUCAUAUACUUCAUUCAAAAUGUUCAAAAAGCGAAAAUGGUUGCGGUGACCAAGAUGACACAACAGCAUGUCAAUUUUGCAUAUAUAGUAAAACAUUAGACCUGCCACAUAUGCCCGAUAUGGUAUUUCCAAAUAACAUAUUAACUUUGAAACACCGAACUGGAGCUAUCUUGCAGUUUAAUGCACUUGAUGCAUUAAAAUAUGUUUCCAAUGGCAAAAUCAAUGUACAACUUGCAUGUGCCGAAGCAUGGAAAGAAUCAAGAUUAGAAAGCAGCGAAUUUUUGGAAGAAAAAGUUAAACCAUUUGAUUGGACCUUUACAACCAAUUAUACUGGUACAAUAUCUGGAUUUCAUUUGGAAGAAACUAACGAAAGAAUUGAUUUAGAUAAAUUAAAGAGAAGAGAGAAAAUUAGGUUUUAUCAUGAUUUGACACUUUUUGAAGAUGAACUACAUGAUAAUGGUAUUGCUGUAUGUUCAGUUAAAAUUCGUGUAAUGCCUACAAGUUUCUUCAUUCUUCUGCGUUAUUUUUUGAGAAUUGACAAUGUUAUGUUAAGAAUAAAAGAUACUCGUAUCUAUCACGAAUUUGGACAAAAUUUUCUGUUAAGAGAAUUCACUACUCGAGAAGCCAAAGUUGAAGAUAUUCAUGUAUCUCCAGUUUUGUUCAUAGAACCAAGUGAUAUAGCACCUCACCUGCCAAUAAUCGAAAGUUAUUAUCAUAAAUUGAUUGUUUCGUCGAGAGAAGAAGAAACUGAAAUAAAAGAUGGAGUGUCAACAUCCGUUGAUAACACAACAGAUACUACUGUUACUUAAAGAUUAUCUGAAAAGAAACAAAAAAAAAAAAAGAAAUAAAGAGGAAAUACAACAUUCGAUCACAAAUUAAUAAAUUAAAGUUAAUGAGCUAAAAACUUGCACGCGUUUUGCAUUAAAAAGAAAAAAAGAAGAAAAAAAACCAGAAGAAGAAAUUAAAUUUUUUAAAAUAUAAUACUUCUCGCAAAGUAUAUAUAUAUAUAUAUAUAGGAUAUUAAUUUUAUAUAAUAAAUUAUUUGCUUGAAAAUUGAAUUGCAGUUGUAGCACAGAAGAAAAAUAAUAAAAAAAAAAAAUUAAAAAAAAAUAAAAAAACACAAGUUUAUAAUUGCUACGUCAGAGAUGUGCAAUGUAAAACAAACGUAAUAAUACAACCCAAAUGUUAAAAAUAAUAGUUUUUUGUUUCUUUAAUCUGCAAAUAAAGUUAUUUAACGUAAAAAUGAUUAAAAAAAAAAAAAAAAAACAUAUUUGUAGUGUAAAUUAUUACUGCAAUAUCUAACGUUGUUCUAUAUAUUCGUAUCCAUUUAGUUUAUUAUCAAGAGAAAGUCAUUAUCAAAGAAGAGAUAAUUAAAUUUAUCUAUUUCUGAUGACCAUCUAUAAAAAAAACUCUGGAUACAAAUAGUUUGAUAAGACAACGAUAUAAUAACAUCUAAAACACACACUCUCUCUCUCUCUUUCUCUCUCUCUCUCUCUCUCCAAUGUUGAAUGAAAUUUCAUAUGAAAUACAAUGGUACAGAUUGUGUAACGAAUCGACGAUACUCUUACUAUGAUCGUGUGUAUUCAUAAAAAAAACAAACGAUACCGAUAAUAAAAUUCUUGCAUUUGUAGACAUUGAA
rnacentral:misc_RNA from 1 species